rnacentral:snRNA from 1 species
AUCCGAGUGCACGGGCAUUACGCAUAUCAGUGAGGAUUCGUCCGAGAUUGCGUUUUUGCUAGUUGAAAACUAUCAACUGACCGCUCCUGUUGGUCUUCGGAUCGGCAGGGAACUUUUGGAACAAACACUG